ACUGCCCCUCCCCAUGUAGUUCUUGGCCUUCCUCUGUCUAUUAGACUAGUACUGUAGUGUUGUUAGUGUGUGAUAAUGACUGUGGUUUAAAGGAAGGUAAGGACCGAAUAAAAUAGAUGUUUGUAUUCAGUAUAAUUAUAGCGGUAAAUAUGACACACCGGCAAUUUGUGGGAGUGACAUUAUGGCUUGUAGUAGUGAUAGCGGUGGCCACGUAAUGGCUGCUGAGAAUAACUUCCACGAGCUCGUCUUUCAUGAACUGGACGAAGGAUCUUGAGGAAUUCGUUAUUUUUUUAUUACUCUUGCAUUUAAAGGUAGUUCAAUUUUCCAGGAUAAUUGUCAGUUAUGUUGUAGGUGAAGGAUGAACGAUUGUUAGAUUUCGUAUUUCAAUAGGUUUUAGCAUGAAUUUGGCUUUUACCCCGUUUUUGUAUGUGAUGUUUGGCACCAGUAUUGUAGAUUUGUGGUAAAUGGUUUAGGAUUCAUAUUCCAGUGAGUUUAAGCACUCAUUUCCGUCCCUACGGGUUUUAGUGUUGCAGUGGAUUCUAACGCCGAUGCACUCCAGAGUAGCGACACUGGUUGGUGUACAUGUGGUCGGCGGCACGGCAGUUUAGUAACUGCUGUAAGUUUCUAGUAUCUGAUAAUUUUUGUCAAGAAUAAAUUGUAAUUGCAAUCCAAUUUUUCUAUUUGGUCUUAAUCAUGUUAAGAUGUUUAGUUACAACCCUUUUUAAUUUCACUUUAGUGUGCUGCUUUCCAUAAUAUCCAUGUAUUGUGUUGUCAUGGAACAAGAGGAAGGCUAACUGUUGUGAUGACGCGCCAUACACCAACCCCGAUCAACUAUGUCGUUUUAAUUCACCAAUCCCCAUCAACUAUGUCGUUUUAAUUGUCAACCUCUCCAAUCUACUAUCCUUCCACUGCCUCUCGUUUUGUAUCUACUACCAAAGUUCUUAUCUUUUAUUCUUUGAUGUUGGGUUUGGGGAAUAUCCUGUCUUGUGUGCGGUGUUACCGAUUGCCUCUUCCCCCCCCCCCCCCCGAGUUAUUACGAGGUAGUUCAUUAUGUAAUCAUGAUUAAUUUUUUCCCAAAUUUGUUAUUGGCCAGCCCAAAGAAAUUGCAUUAUAGAUUAUUUUAUAGAUGAAUGUAAUUGCGACACUGCGGAUUCACCGGUGAUUUGGGUGGCUCUGGCAUCAUGCAAGGUCGACGGAGUUCCAGAGGUUUUCCUAACGAGUCUUCAUCACGGGCCACGUUGUGCGUACACCUGUGUUGGCUGGCUAGGAGGCGCGGCUCGGUGCACGGAAAGGUGUGUACACAUCCUUCCCAGCAUUGCGGGGGGGGGGAUCAGCACAUUCAAUAGAGACCUCUACACCUGUUCUCUCUUCAUCGACCCCUUUCUUCCGGAACCUUAUCAUCGGUCCUCUUCUACAAUAAAUCAUGGGGGCCCUAGGUUACCACGCACACCCUUCCCCAGCUCGUUUCGUGGGGUCUGACUUCAAGCAAACUCGCGUAGCUCUUUACCUUCAGCACCCAGCGGAGUAAGUAAUGAAGUCGAGGUAUGUGGAGAAAUUGUGCCACUGUCAGGUACAAGGUGACCAUGGUGAGACGCCCCGCCUAUUCGCGUUUGGGAGAAUCUGGGGCUCUUCCACUGCUCACGUCCCCAUCACAGGAGGGCACGCAUCUGGAAUUAAAUUAACACUACAAUUUACUAAAUUACUUUACACAUCUAGUAA